rnacentral:rRNA from 1 species
AUUGAACGCUGGCGGCAUGCUUUACACAUGCAAGUCGAACGGCAGCGCGGGCUUCGGCCUGGCGGCGAGUGACGAACGGGUGAGUAAUGCAUCGGAACGUGCCCAGUAGUGGGGGAUAGCCCGGCUAAAGCCGGAUUAAUACCGCAUACGACCUGAGGGUGAAAGCGGGGGACCGAAAGGCCUCGCGCUAUUGGAGCGGCCGAUGUCGGAUUAGCUAGUUGGUGGGGUAAAGGCUUACCAAGGCGACGAUCCGUAGCUGGUCUGAGAGGACGACCAGCCACACUGGGGCUGAGACACGGCCCAGACUCCUACGGGAGGCAGCAGUGGGGAAUUUUGGACAAUGGGGGCAACCCUGAUCCAGCCAUGCCGCGUGCGGGAAGAAGGCCUUCGGGUUGUAAACCGCUUUUGUUCGGGAAGAAAUCCUCUGGGCUAAUACCCCGGGGGGAUGACGGUACCGGAAGAAUAAGCACCGGCUAACUACGUG